rnacentral:rRNA from 1 species
CGUAGGGUGCAAGCAUUAUCCGGAGUGACUGGGCGUAAAGAGUUGCGUAGGCGGUCCGUAAAGCGAAUAGUGAAACCUGGUGGCUCAACCAUCAGACUAUUAUUCGAACUCACGGACUCGAGAGUGGUAGAGGUAACUGGAAUUUCUAGUGUAGGAGUGAAAUCCGUAGAUAUUAGAAGGAACACCAAUGGCGUAGGCAGGUUACUGGACCAUUUCUGACGCUAAGGCACGAAAGCGUGGGGAGCGAACCGGAUUAGAUACCCGGGUAGUCCACGCCGUAAACGAUGGAUACUAGCUGUCGGGGGUAUCGACCCCUUCGGUAGCGAAGCUAACGCGUUAAGUAUCCCGCCUGUGGAGUACGGCCGCAAGGCUA